AACACCUAGAUUAGACUCCUUAUCGCUCACACAUCCAAUUCACACUGUAAUGAGCCUUGCAAGGUGUUUUAUACCCAGCUAGAGAGAUGGCCUGGAGCAACACAUCAACGUGUCACCUGCCUGGUAACCCUCAAUUUGGUUAGGAUGUCUGGUCUUGCAGGCGUGUUAGCCUAUCGGCAUCUUCAGCAGGAGGAUCGUCUGGGGACCAGAAAGUACAUGGACAUAGGUGAGCCGGAGAGACAGGGUUCACAGAAGAGGGAGCUGAGGAAAGGUCGUGCGGCCCGGUCCGCGGCCUCGGCCUCAUCACUCGCCUCACCCCGCAGUCGGCGCACGUGUCGCCCAGCAUGCGGUAACCACGGAGCAGGUAGUCCCCCAUCAGACGGGAGAUGCGAUCCUGCCGCUCCCGUCGCGCCUGCAGCACCUUCGUCUCAGCUUCAGUCGGAGGCUCCCAGGUGAAAUCGUCGACAUCUAGAGAAAACAGGCACAGGAGAUAGAGAGAGCUGCCUCCCGCACCCCACGGCCACUGCCCAAACAUCCCAAGCGCAUACCUGCACCGUUCAAGGCCAUGUUGCCGUGGUCACUGCUGGGCUCACCGGAAGUGAUCCAAAUAAGAUGCGCCCCCACUACGGCCCCGCCUCCCACAUGUGGUAGCUGAGGGCGGAAGUGACGCUUACACGGUCUUCCUGGCGCUUUAGUCAAAGGGGGGGCGUGUCUGCUGCACAUUUGACCCUGACCUACGGGCUCGGCUGGUGGCCAGAGCUAUGGUUGGGUACCACCGUCUCCCUGGUAACGCUUCAGUACUCGGGUGUGGCUUUUCAGAGUCUCCAUUUCUACUUGCCUCAGAUAAAGUGGCCCUUAGGUCUGUGAAAUACCCGAUUCCCUCAGGGUUGUCUUUCCACACAGGGGAAGCAGGAGAUGGGCAGGACCAUGACAUCUGCCCAACAGUCACUGCAAUAAAAAGUUCUCUAAAUCUUUCAAACUAGGCUAGCUACACUGAGGUCGUUUUCUGCCUAUUUCAACACUCCUCCCUGUUUGCGUGUUGGGUGUCCUCUGUCCACCUUCUACCAAUGCCUAGAACUGAUGUAAGCCUGCUGUCUUAGUUAGGACUAGUAUAGCUGGGAUUAACACCAUGACCAAAAAUAACUUGGGGAGGAAAAGGUUUGUUUCGCCGGGCAUGGUGGCUCAUGCCUUUAAUCCCAGCACUUGGGAGGCAGAAGCAGGCGAAUUUCUGAGUUCGAGGCCAGCCUGGUCUACAGAGCGAGUUCCAGGACAGCCAGGGCUACACAGAGAAACCCUGUCUCGAAAAGCCAAAAAAAAAGAAAAGAAAA
rnacentral:lncRNA from 1 species